rnacentral:rRNA from 1 species
GGAGCUUGCUCUUCUUGGAUGAGUUGCGAACGGGUGAGUAACGCGUAGGUACCUGCCUUGUAGCGGGGGAUAACUAUUGGAAACGAUAGCUAAUACCGCAUAACAAUGGAUGACACAUGUCAUUUAUUUGAAAGGGGCAAUUGCUCCACUACAAGAUGGACCUGCGUUGUAUUAGCUAGUAGGUGAGGUAAUGGCUCACCUAGGCGACGAUACAUAGCCGACCUGAGAGGGUGAUCGGCCACACUGGGACUGAGACACGGCCCAGACUCCUACGGGAGGCAGCAGUAGGGAAUCUUCGGCAAUGGGGGCAACCCUGACCGAGCAACGCCGCGUGAGUUAAGAAGGUUUUCGGAUCGUAAAGCUCUGUUGUAAGUCAAGAACGGGUGUGAGAGUGGAAAGUUCACACUGUGACGGUAGCUUACCAGAAAGGGACGGCUAACUACGUGCCAGCUGCCGCGGAAAUACGUAGGUCCCGAGCGUUGUCCG